rnacentral:rRNA from 1 species
CCUACGGGAGGCAGCAGUGGGGAAUAUUGGACAAUGGGGGCAACCCUGAUCCAGCCAUGCCGCGUGAGUGAAGAAGGCCUUAGGGUUGUAAAACUCUUUCACCGGGGACGAUGAUGACGGUACCCGGAGAAGAAGCCCCGGCUAACUCCGUGCCAGCAGCCGCGGUAAU